UACGGAGGGGGCUAGCGUUGUUCGGAAUUACUGGGCGUAAAGCGUUUGUAGGCGGUUAUACAAGUCAGUGGUGAAAUCCCAGAGCUCAACUCUGGAAUUGCCAUUGAAACUGUAUAGCUAGAGAAUGUUAGAGGAAAGUGGAAUUCCUAGUGUAGGAGUGAAAUCCGUAGAGAUUAGGAGGAAUAUCGAUGGCGAAGGCAGCUUUCUGGGACAUUUCUGACGCUGAGAAACGAAAGCGUGGGUAGCAAACAGG
rnacentral:rRNA from 1 species